GACGAACGCUGGCGGCGUGCUUAACACAUGCAAGUCGAACGAAGUGGCGAACGGGUGAGUAAAGCGUAAUCAACCUGCCCUUCCGAGGGGGACAACAGUUGGCAACGACUGCUAAUACCGCAUACUGAAGGAGGGGAUUGCGUCUGAAUAUCUAGGUGGAUGGGUAACGGCCCACCAAGGCGAUGAUCAGUAGCCGGUUGGAGAGGAUGAACGGCAAAAUUGGGAAGGAGACACGGCCCAGAAUCCUACGGGAGGCAGCAGUGGGGAAGCGUCCGCAAUUGACGAAAGUCUGACGGAGCAACGCCGCGUGAGUGAUGACGGCCUUCGGGUUGUAAAGCUCUGUUAAUCGGGACGCGGUACCGGAAUAGAAAGCCACGGCUAACUACGUGCCAGCAGCCGCGGUAAUUC
rnacentral:rRNA from 1 species